AGGGUUUUGUCAUCUAUCGGGUUCGUGUGAGGCGAGGUGGUCGCAAGAGACCUGUCCCUAAAGGUAUCGUGUAUGGUAAGCCCACCAACCAGGGUGUUACCCAACUCAAAUUUCAGCGCAGCAAAAGGUCAGUUGCAGAAGAACGUGCUGGUAGAAAGCUGGGUGGUCUUAAGGUUCUGAACUCAUACUGGAUCAAUGAGGUAAAUGAUCAAGUUGAGUUAAUUGCUUGUUUUGCUCUUUCGUUUGAAAUCUGGAAUGAGACUUGUUAUGAUUUAUAUGCUUUUGUUUGUUGUAGGAUUCAACUUACAAGUACUUUGAGGUAAUCUUGGUUGAUCCUGCACAUCAAGCCAUCCGUAAUGAUCCAAGAAUCAACUGGAUUUGCAACCCUGUGCACAAGCACAGAGAGCUCCGUGGCCUCACUUCAGCAGGAAAGAAAUACAGAGGCCUACGUGGAAAGGGACACUUGAACCACAAGGCACGUCCCUCACGCAGGGCCACCUGGAAGAGGAACAACACACUUUCGCUUCGCCGAUAUCGCUGAGUUUUACUUGCUGUUGG
rnacentral:lncRNA from 1 species